UACGAAGGGUGCAAACGUUGCUCGGAAUCAUUGGGCGUAAAGCGCACGUAGGCGGCCUUGCAAGUCGGAUGUGAAAUCCCACGGCUCAACCGUGGACGUGCAUCCGAAACUGCUCGGCUCGAGUAUGGAAGAGGGUCGCGGAAUUCCCGGUGUAGAGGUGAAAUUCGUAGAUAUCGGGAGGAACACCAGUGGCGAAGGCGACUACCUGGCCUGUUCUUGACGCUGAGGCGCGAAAGCUAGGGGAGCAAACGGG
rnacentral:rRNA from 1 species